rnacentral:rRNA from 1 species
AGAGUUUGAUCCUGGCUCAGAAUCAACGCUGGCGGCGUGCCUAACACAUGCAAGUCGAACGAGAAAGUGGAGCAAUCCAUGAGUAAAGUGGCGACCGGGUGAGUAACACGUGACCAAUCUACCCUUGAGUGGGGGAUAACCUCGGGAAACCGGGGCUAAUACCGCAUAACAUCUUCGGGACGGAAGUACUGAAGAUCAAAGGAGCAAUUCGCUUAAGGAGGAGGUCGCGGCUGAUUAGCUAGUUGGCGGGGUAAUGGCCCACCAAGGCUUAGAUCGGUAGCCGGCCUGAGAGGGCGCACGGCCACACUGGAACUGAAACACGGUCCAGACUCCUACGGGAGGCAGCAGUGGGGAAUCUCGCGCAAUGGGGGAAACCCUGACGCAGCAACGCCGCGUGGAGGAUGAAGUCCCUUGGGACGUAAACUCUUUCGACCCAGAC